rnacentral:miRNA from 14 species
UGGAUCUAUCGUACCGCUUUAAGAAUGAUCAUUUUCGGGCUGGAGAGAUGGCUCAGCCGUUAAAGGCUAGGCUCACAACCAAAAAUAUA